GUUCAGUACCUGCAGGAAUUGAGAAUCUGCCAAGCUUUACUGGCUUAUCCGUUUGUCGGACCAGCGCUAUCACAGGUGGAUAAAGUCUCAAGGAUUCAUUGAAAAUCAUCCCCAUCUGCAAUAGUAAGGAGCACCUUUCAUGGCCCAGAGGGGAACCUGGGGUAGAAGAGGUCGAAGAAAUGCCAAAGGGCAAGACAAUGCUGUAGAUGAAGUGCUCAGGAGGUUGCAGACCCUUUAGGCCAAAUUAUUGCAUGAGGAUUCUGAGGAAGAACCAGAAGACCAAGGAGGUCAAGGGGGAGCCAUUGAUCCCAUAGAAAGACUUAUUGAGGCCUUUACCAAACAGGGAUUGAAGAGACUGAUCUACACCGGGUCAAAGUUGCUACAUCCAAACUGAAGUCUUAUGCUGCUCUAUGGUGGGAGAAUCUCCAAACAACUAGGAAAAGACAGGGAAAAGAGAAAAUCAGACUUUGGCCAAAGAUGUUAAAACUCUUGAGAGCUAAGUUCAUACCCUCGGAUUAUCAGCAAAAACUCUUUAAAGAGUUUCAAAAUCUGAAGCAAAGAGAGCUGAUCAUAUCAGCUUAUACUGAAGAAUUUUUGAGGUUGCAAAUCAGGACUAAUUUAGGAGAAGAUGAUGAGCAUGCAGCAGCUAGAUACAUUAGUGGACUUCGAUUCCAACUCCAGAAUGAAUUAGCCUUACUCAAAGUGAGUACCGUGGAUGAGGUAUAUCAAUUAGCCUUGAAAGUAGAAGAAAAAAUUGAAUAGGAUUGGUAAAGUGGCAAACAAAAGAUGUGGCGGCAUUUCAAGUAUAGUUCCAAAACAGCUAAUGGAGAAGAGCCAGAAGAUGAUGUAAAGCCAAACUUCCAAGGGAGGGGUGGUCUUAGAGGUAGGGCACGAGAACAACGAUUAUCUGAAGGAUGGAAACCCUUGAAAGGCUUCAUUUGUUGUGAAGCCCAUAAAGCUGUAGACUCUCCUCCAAAUCCCAGGAGAGCAAUGGUAAUCCAAGAAAAAGGAGAAGAGCCCUUGAGAGAAGACGUUGCAGCAGAAAUAGGUGAGAGUUUGAUGUUGAAUAGACCUUUGAUUGCUGGUGACAAGGAAACCCCCACAGCUGAUUGGAGAAGGAAUAGUGUGUUUUGAAUGCAAUGCAAGUGAAAAGAUAAGGUGUGCAAAGUAAUUGUGGAUUGGAGGAUCCACUGAUAACCUGGUAAGUACAAAAUGGUGCAAAAUUACAGCUGGUAGGUAUGUAUUCCAAAACGAGUUAUAAAAUUUCUUGGUUAAAAAAGGAAAGUGUGCUUGUGAAUCAAUCUUGUCUAGAUGACUUCAAAAUUGGCCCUUAUGAGGAUAGAAUGUUAUGUGAUGUAGUACCAAUGGAUGCUUGUCACCUGUUAUUGGGUAGGCCUUGGUUAUAUGACAGAAGUGUAACUCACCAUGGCAGAGAAAAUGCCUAUGAGAUUCGGCAAGAGGGUAAGCUUCAUGUAUUGAAACCAUUUAAAGGAGGAGAGAAAACUGAAAUAAAAGAUUUGUCUUUGACCACAGUGGGCUGUAAAGAGUCUUUUAGAGAAUCUAAGGGAGGGACUUGCCAUCUAUUGUACCCUCUAGAAAAUAAGAAUUCAAAUCAGCAGAUAAUUCCGUUGAAGGUACAAGAACUGUUACAACUUACAACAAUAUUCUGAUUUGACACUGUCUGACCUACCAGCUGGUUUGCCUUUGUUCAGAGGCAUUACCCAUCAAAUUGAUCUUAUCCCAGGUGCCAAACUUCUGAAUGAAGUUGCUUAUAGGUUGCCUCCACUAAAAAAUGAGGAGACAAAUUACUGAAUUAUUGAAAAAAGGAUUUGUAAGAGAAAGCAUGAGUCCAUGUGCCACACCUACUCUAGUCUCUCCUAAGAAGGGGGGUAAAUGGAGGCUAUGUAUGGAUUCUAGAGCCAUUACCAAAAUCACUGUGAAGUACUGAUAUCCCAUACCUAGGAUGGAUGACUUAUUAGAUUGUUUGUCAGGGGCUAAAGUUUUCUCCAAAUCGACCUCAAAAGUGGUUACCAUUAGAUUCAGAUCUGUGAAGGUGAUAAGUGGAAGACUGCCUUCAAAACACAAGAUGGAUUAUAUGAGUGGGUGGUGAUGCCAUUUGGACUAUCCAAUGCUCCAGCUACUUUCAUGCGAACAAUGAACCAGGUUUGAUUUGAAGUUUGGGGAGCUCGAAGGAUGCUUAGGAAGACAUUGUUGAUGCUGAUAAAACCUUUUGUUGCAGUGUUCAAGUGUGUUUUCAGGUGUUUGUUGAGGUGUGUUGCAGCCCAUUGCAUCAAGCAAGGAAAGAUAUCCCCAAGGCACCUACAACAAAUUGAAGCCCAAGAAGAUUGGGCCUUGCAAAAUUUAAAAAAGGAUAAAUGACAACACCUACUAAAUUGAUUUGCCUGAGGGUUUGGACAUCAGUCCCAUUUUUAAUGUUGCUGACCUUUAUUCAUAUUCAGCUGGAACUAUGGAAGACCAGAUGGAAGAUGGGCACCAUGAGAAGGAUGAAAACCUUUGGAGUAAGUAGUUCCGAAAGAAGAAAAGGGAGCGAGUUGAACAGGUACUAGAUACCAAAUUGGUGGCAACACGAUCUAGGUCAUAUAAGCUUUAUUUCGUUAAGUGGGAAAAUUUGCCAGAUUCUUACAAUUCAUGGAUCACUGAAGCUAAUUUGAUGAAGCAUAGUCUCCCAGAACCAGGAGGUUCAGAUUUUCUCAGAGGGGAGAAUGAUGCGGAGCAUCUCCCCUAGAUUCUCCUGCCCACAUUCUGACCGUGGAAUUAAGGGAGUUUCUAUUUUUGGUUUUCCUGUAGUAUAUUCCUGCUUUUUCUGUUUUGUUGUGGUAGUUUUGGGUUUUGUCUGUUUUGGGGCUGUGAGUGGUCUGUGGACUGGUCAGCUGCAGCCACGCUGCUGGCUGGGAGUUUCUUUUAGUUUGUUUUUUUUGUAUAAGUUUGGUUGAGCUGGGUUGUGGGGAAGGAACGGAUGAGAACAGAGGAAUGGUGUAGGGGAUGGGAGUUUAUUUUCUGGGACAAUAUUGUGGGGGAUUUGCAGAGAUUAACUGUUUUAUCGAAUAAGGAAUGAGAAAAUGAGAAAAAAACAAAUUUGAGAAUUAUUUAACUUGAAUCAGCUCUUGUUAUUUUCUGGGUAAAUGCUGUUAUUUGUUCUCUUCAUAUUUAAUCUCCUGUUUCUUGGUUUUGAGCUGCAUCAAGUUGUUACUAACUUACUAGUACUAUGUGGGUAAUAAAUGCCAAGAGAUAAUAGUUGUAUUAAGGGUUUAGCCAAUUAUCACCAGUAUCAUGAAGGUGACGGAUGCUAGGGGCUACCCAUGGUAGGAAGGGUUUAGUUGGCUUUCACUACCGCCAUAUAGGUGGUAAAUGCUAGGAGCUACCGAAAACCGGGAAUGACCAACUCUUCACCAGUGGCAUAGAGGCAAUAGAUGUCUGAAUCAGUCGGCUCAACUGGUUCAAUGCUUUUGUGGGAAUCUUAUUUGCAGCCAAUGGUAUCUUGUGGGUAUGCUUACCAUUCCUUUUUUCAAUGGUGGAGAGAAGCUUGCUUCCCAUUACACCUGCUAGUGAUUUAGGAAUGAGAAUGGAGUCAUGGUGUAGUAUGGGAUGCACUGCAGUCCUCUUUCUAGCUGCCAUCUUGCACACAUGACUAUAUGCCUAAGUGUGAGGGUAGCCACACUAUCUCAAAGAAAGCACCAUUGCAGAUUUGUGCUAACUUAAGUUUGUACACCAUAGGCACUCCUUAUUUAUGAUCAUUACAUAACGGAUUGUACUUACUCAUUGUACUAUGUAUUUUGCUAACUCAAAGAAAGGUUAAUCAUUCUAUCCAUUCGAUGCAUAGAUAGCUGAAUUAAGGCUGAUAUAUUUCUGAUUCAUGAGAUGUUCUUAAAAACCAUGCUAUUGUAGGAAUUGCUACUACAAUGCAUUCUAAUACAACAAUUGAUGGUUUUGUCAAUAAUAGGAACUUUGUGUGUGUCACUAACACCACUGCAGGUUCUUCUUUAUGGCUGUUGCUAUGAUUGGAAAAGAUUCUUAUGCAAACAGAAACCAAAAAAAAAAAUCUGUAGUAACAAGGGUGUUAUCACAAUAUCUACUGGAUGUGGAAGUUGUUUAGCUAGAGGCGCUAACUCUAAUUGUGUGUAAGUGCAUUGUAGCUACUAGACAGCUUGUAACAGUUCAUAAAUCGAUAGAUGUUGAAAUGAAUCAAAAUGAGAAUGAGGUUUGUGUUUCCUUGAACGCGUUUAAAUUUUAAAUUGACAAAAAUCCUCUUAUUUGUUCCAGAAAUCUUCAAUCUCAUACGUGGUUCUCCUAUCCGAUUGUUAUCAAUUCCUUGUGUGCUUUGGUUUACAAUAUAAGAGUGAAUUCAUAAAAAGAAGAAACUACUUAAAACUAUUUUUACAAACAGAGUAACACUUCUUAGAGCCAUACAUUUAAGAUAGCAAAUGUGAACUUUUUUGAGAAACCAUGUAUGAUGGAAAAAUGCGAAGGAAGAUGCUCACAUGUUUUAGCAUCCCAAUAAUUAUAAAACAUUUCUAGACAACUCCUACUAACAAUUUACUUGUAAGGCAAAAAUUAGUGACCUGGA